UGAAGCUGGAAUCGCUAGUAAUCGCGAAUCAGCAUGUCGCGGUGAAUACGUUCCCGGGUCUUGUACACACCGCCCGUCACACCAUGGGAGUUGGUAACGCCCGAAGCCAGCGACCCAACCGGAAACGGAGGGAGCUGUCGAAGGUGGGACCGAUAACUGGGGUGAAGUCGUAACAAGGUAGC
rnacentral:rRNA from 1 species